rnacentral:other from 1 species
AUUUCCCUACUGUGUGCGUGUAAACUGGCAAAGUAAAGAGCCAACACAUUGACAUAGGGAGUCCGGGCUCUAAAUGUAGCAUAUAAGCCCUUGAGAAGGGAAAUAUAAAGCAUUUAGGAGGACACCCACUUGGGUAGAGCCGGGUCUCUAUUUACUGCCAGUAGCACGGCAUGGUGGGGUAAUU